GUCUUCUUCCAUGGUUUCUUUUCCCCUUGCAUAGUUGGGAGUAAAGGAUUUGUCUGGGGAGUCAGCUGUGUUCCUCCUUCCUGUUGUAUGUGU